AGAAUCAAUGCUGGCGGCGUGCCUAACACAUGCAAGUCGCACGAGAAAGGGACUUCGGUCCUGAGUACAGUGGCGCACGGGUGAGUAACACGUGAAUAAUCUACCUCCGAGUGGGGAAUAACUGAGAGAAAUCUUAGCUAAUACCGCAUAACAACUUACGAGUCAAAGCAGCAAUGCGCUUGGAGAGGAGUUCGCGGCAGAUUAGUUAGUUGGCGGGGUAAUGGCCACCAAGACGAUGAUCUGUAUCCGGCCUGAGAGGGCGCACGGACACACUGGAACUGAAACACGGUCCAGACUCCUACGGGAGGCAGCAGUGGGGAAUUUUGCGCAAUGGGGGAAACCCUGACGCAGCAACGCCGCGUGGAGGAUGAAAUCCCUUGGGAUGUAAACUCCUUUCGAUCGGGAAGAUAAUGACGGUACCGAGAGAAGAAGCCCGGCUAACUUCGUGCCAGCAGCCGC
rnacentral:rRNA from 1 species